UACGUAGGGGGCAAGCGUUGUCCGGAUUCAUUGGGCGUAAAGAGCGUGUAGGCGGCCAGGUAGGUCGGUUGUGAAAUCGCUCGGCUCAACUGGGCGGGGUCAGCGGAUACGGCGUAGCUGGAGCAAGCUAGGGGGCAAUGGAAUUCCCGGUGUAGUGGUGGAAUGCGUAGAGAUCGGGAAGAACACCGGUGGCGAAGGCGGCCUGCUGGGCAGUAGCUGACACUGAGGCGCGACAGCGCGGGGAGCAAACAGG
rnacentral:rRNA from 1 species